GUGGGGAAUAUUGGGCAAUGGGCGAAAGCCUGACCCAGCAACGCCGCGUGAGGGAAGAAGGUUUUCGGAUUGUAAACCUCUGUCCUUGGUGACGAACACAAUGACGGUAGCCAAGGAGGAAGCCCCGGCUAACUACGUGCCAGCAGCCGCGGUAAUACGUAGGGGGCAAGCGUUGUCCGGAAUGACUGGGCGUAAAGGGCGUGUAGGCGGCCGAUUAAGUCUGGAGGGAAAGUCCUGCUUUCAAGGUGGGAAUUGCUUUGGAGACUGGUUGGCUUGAGUGCGGAAGAGGCAAGUGGAAUUCCCAGUGUAGCGGUGAAAUGCGUAGAGAUUGGGAGGAACACCAGUGGCGAAGGCGACUUGCUGGGCCGUAACUGACGCUGAGGCGCGAAAGCGUGGGGAGCGAACAGGAUUAGAUACCCGAGUAGUCC
rnacentral:rRNA from 1 species